UCGCCUGACACGCGCUGGUGAUAGGUAGUAGGUAUCACCUGACACUACCUGGUGAUAGGUAGGAGGUAUCACCUGACACGACCUGGUGAUAGCUAGUAGGUAUCACCUGACACGACCUGGGAAUAGGUAGUAGUAUAUCACCUGACACUACCUGGUGAUAGGUAGUAGUAUAUCACAUGACACGACCUGGUGAUAGGUAGUAGUGUAUCACCUGACACGACCUGGUGAUAGGUAGUAGGUAUCACCUUAACUGUUGAUAGGGGUGUGGAUGAGCAGGUUCAUGUGUUUUCUUUGUUCAUCAUGUCUGGGCGUUAUCUGGAUAUCCAAACCACAUCUUUGGAAUAACCACAAGCAUUUCACAAUUGAGCUCAUGUAAACUGCCAAGUUCUAUGUCGGUAUCAGUGAUAUGUGUACUUAUACUAUACAAUCUACAUCAGUACGCUGGUCGUGUUAUUAAGAUUUCAACUGCAGGUUUUUUCAAGUUGAUGAAUAAGAAAGACGCCAGCUUCAGGGUGAGAUGUAUCUCCGUUGUUAGACUGUAGUGUAUACCCCUUAGUGCUGCCAUACACACUUAGUACCUUAUAUUGGCCAUACACACUAAGUACCUUAUAUUGGCCAUACACACUUAGUACCUUAUAUUGGCCAUACACACUUAGUACCUUAUAUUGGCCAAGCUAAUAUACGUUACUAUAACGUCCUGUUGCAUUUGUUGGUAAGUGUUUGCAUGAUUUGUUAUAGGAAUUCGUCAAUAUCACUUAUGUGACCAUGGCGUGUUAAUCAAUCAGACUGUUUUAUAAGUAAUCUGAGUUAAUGAAUAGGAGUUAAAUAUUGUCAUGUUAGUUAAAAAGAAAACCAAACAGCAUCACGUGACGUGUAACUUGAUUGUGAUUCGUUAGAUACGUAGUUCGUGUUCUACAUUUAUGUUAGGCGUGCUAGAAAAACUUCCAAAUGCCUUAUUAUCAAAAUAAUCGUGGUAUAAUUAUAAGUGAUAUAUGUUAGGUAAUAACUUGAAAAAGAUGUGUAAUUAAUGAUUAAUCAAGCUUUGAUUAAAAUAAUAACGUUAAUUGCAUAUUUAAGAAUUUACUUGGGAAUGUCAUUGUUCCUUUAUUGAUAUUUUAUCAGAUUAAUUAUAUCGAUUUUAACUGUCACCUAAGAUAUGACGUAAUAACCAGAUGUAACUUUUAAGGUAGAACCUCAACCUGUAGAAACCAGACUCACAUCCUCUGUGUGUAGAGGAAGUCGUACUUAAUCAGAAUACUGGCGUUUUUCUCCUCGAUAUGUAUACCUAACAAUGUAGUCGGGGCAUGUCUACACAGUAUGGUAGGUAAACCCGUGUAUUUAAUUGGUGCUUCAUGUGUUCGGUAGAAAUAAAUGCUCUUUUUCGUGAUAGUGGCGAUCACGUCAUCUCAUUAGCAGUUCCCUCAUUUUUAAUGAUGAUAUGAUAUACAACAUUUAAUAAACCCCACAUUAUCCCUGUGCUUUUAAUGUGACCUGUAAUGUAAACGUUAUACCAAUAUAGACUGUAAACAGUUUCUAGAUGUAAGGAAAUGCGAUGGCUAUUUAUUUAAUAUUCUGUAACAGUGUUAGUAUAACAUGUCAAUUAUUUUGUACGUACUCUGUACAUGUAAUUAAAAAAAAUGUUACUUUAAGUAUCAUUGAUGGUGCAUGUAGUGACAUUGUUUGAUUGAGAUGUUUGUGUGAGGUCUAGUGACAUUGUAUGUGUGAGGUCUAGUUACAUUGUGUGAGGUCUAGUUACAUUGUGUGAGGUCUAGUGACAUUUAAUGUGUGAGGUCUAGUUACAUUGUAUGUGUGAGGUCAAGUUACAUUGUAUGUGUGAGGUCUAGUGACAUUGUAUGUGUGAGGUCUAGUAACAUUGUAUGUGUGAGGUCAAGUUACAUUGUAUGUGUGAGGUCUAGUGACAUUGUAUGUUUGAGGUCUAGUGACAUUGUAUGUGUGAGGUCUAGUUACAUUGUAUGUGUGAGGUCUAGUGACAUUGUAUGUUUGAGGUAUAGUAACCUUGUAUAAGGGCUAGUUACAUUGUGUGUGGUGUGUGAUCUAGUGACAUUGUGUGAGGUCUAGUAACAUUUUGUGAAGUCAAGUGGCAUUGUAUGUUUGAGGUCUAGUGACAUUGUAUGUUUGAGGUAUAGUAACAUUGUAUAAGGUCUAGUUACAUUGUGUGUGGUGUGUGAUCUAGUGACAUUGUGUGAGGUCUAGUUACAUUGUGUGAGGUCUAGUGAUAUUGUGUGAGGUGUGUGAUCUAGUUACAUUGUAUGUUUGAGGUAUAAUUACAUUAUGUGAGGUCUAGUUACAUUGUGUGUUGUGUGAGGUCUAGUUACAUUGUGUGUGGUGUGAUGUCUAGUUACAUUGGAUGUUUGAGGUAUGAUUACAUUGUGUGAGGACUAGUUACAUUGUGUGUGGUGUGAGGUCUAGUUACAUCGGAUGUUUGAGGUAUAAUUACAUUGUAUGUGGCGAGAGGUCUAAUUACAAUGUGUGUGGUGUGAGGUCUAGUUACAUUGUGUGUGGUGUGAGGUCUAGUUACAUUGUAGGUUUGAGGUAUAAUUACAUUGUGUGAGGUCUAGUUACAUUGUGUGUGGUGUGUGUUUUAGCUACAUUGUAUGUUUGAGGUAUAGUAACGGUGUGUGAGGUCUAGUUACAUUGUGUGUGGUGUGAGGUCUAGUUACAUUGGAUGUUUGAGGUAUAAUUACAUUGUGUGACGUGUGAGGUCUAGUUACAUUGGAUGUUUGAGGUAUAAUUACAUGGUGUGUGGUGUGAGGUCUAGUUACAUUGUAUGUGAUGGGAGGUCUAGUUACAUUGUGUGUGGUGUGAGGUCAAAGUUGCAUUGUGUGUGGUGUGAGGUCUAGUUACAUUGUGUGUUGUGUGAGGUCUAGUUACAUUGUGUGUGGUGUGAGGACUAGGUACAUUGUAGGUUUGAGGUAUUAUUUCAUUGUGUGAGGUCUAGUUACAUUGUGUGUGGUGUGUGGUUUAGCUACAUUGUAGUUUGAGGUAUAAUUACAUUGUGUGAGGUCUAGUUACAUUGUGUGUGGUGUGAGGUCUAGUUACAUUGUGUGUGGUGUGAGUUCUAGUUACAUUGUGUGUGGUGUGAGGUCUGGUUACAUUGUAGGGCUGACGUAUAAUUACAUUGUGUGAGGUCUAGUUACAUUGUGUGUGGUGUGAGGUCUAGUUACAUUGUGUGUGGUGUGAGUUCUAGUUACAUUGUGUGUGGUGUGAGGUCUGGUUACAUUGUAGGGCUGACGUAUAAUUACAUUGUGUGAGGUCUAGUUACAUUGUGUGUGGUGUGAGGUCUAGUUACAUUGUGUGUGGUGUGAGUUCUAGUUACAUUGUGUGUGGUGUGAGGUCUGGUUACAUUGUAGGGCUGAGGUAUAAUUACAUUGUGUGAGGUCUAGUUACAUUGUGUGUGGUGUGAGGUCUAGUUACAUUGUGUGUGGUGUGAGUUCUAGUUACAUUGUGUGUGGUGUGAGGUCUAGUUACAUUGUAGGGCUGAGGUAUAAUUACAUUGUGUGAGGUCUAGUUACAUUGUGUGUGUUGUGUGGUUUAGCUACAUUGUAGGUUUGAGGUCUAGUUACAUUGUGUGAGGUCUAGUUACAUUGUGUGAGGUCUAGUUACAUUGUGUGUGGUGUGAGGUCUAGUUACAUUGUAUGUUUGAGGUAUAGUAGCAGUGUGUGAGGUCUAGUUACAUUGUAUGACGGAUAUAUUGUUACCUUGUUUGAGUUAUGUAUGCACAAAAUGUUUGUUUGAUAAAUGGUAGGGUUACAGCCAAGCUGUAUUAACGUACCGGAAGUGUCGAGUACUACUCGAAACGAUCUGUGAGUGAAAUGUGACCGGGUUUAUCAUUGUUUAGUAUAUCUUAAAAGUAGCAUGAAGGAAAAAUUAUCUAAUGGAUUUAUUCAGAUAUAUUUUUAAACUUUAAGACGUUGACAUAUUGUUUUCGUCCUGUGUUUAGCGCAAUAGUGAAUAUAAAUGUACUUUCAGCAUUUUUAUCGAGAAAGCUUAAAGAGAGUUAUGGAUAUUCCUUUACUUAUCAUCAUAAACUCGUGUCGCUGUUCGUUUUGUCAUCAAUAUAUAACAAGCUAAUGCUAUUGAGUAAACCAUGAUGUCACCAGUUGUAGCUAUUGUUAUACAUGACGUCAGUAGCUGUAGCUUUUGUUAUACAUGACAUCAGCAGCAUAGAUAUUGCUAUAAAUGACGUCAUUAGCUGUUAUACAUGACGUCAGCAGCGCAGCUAUAAUAUCAUGGCAGCAGCUGUAGUGUUUUUGCUACAUAUGACGUCAACUUUUGUUACCUCUGACGUCAAUUGUAGCUAUUUCGAUACAUAUGACGUCAUCUUAAGUUUGUUUGUUACAUCUUACAUCAACUUUAGCUAUUUUGUUACAUCUGACGUAAACGUAAGGUAUUUCGUUACAACUGACGUAAACGUAAGGUAUUUUGUUACAACUGACGUAAACGUAAGGUAUUGUGUUACAACUGACGUCAACUGUAGCUGUUUUGCUACCUAUGACGUCAACUGCAGCUGUUUUGUAACAUAUAACGUCGGAUGUAUCUUUUUGAUCGAUCUUUAUCUGAUAACAUCUUCGUAUUUUAUAUAGGGAAUACGGAACAACUUAAUAAAAUAUGGGGAAAUAAAGAAAGUUCGCAAGUAGAAUUGACCAGAUGUUAGUUGUAAAACUGGGUGAAGGUACGUGUUUAGGUGUGUGCGUCUCUGUAUGUUUUGACCAGUGUCGUGUGAGUUAUGGUUUAUAUGUUGUGGUCAGUUCCCGUUUUAUGUGAGACGUGUAUAUAAGUUGUAAUCAGGGAGAUCAGGUAUGGACCUCCCUAAACAGAACAUACAAUCAAAUGUGCUCAUGUUGUAUCAUACAUUAAAUAAGUAUUGAGAAUCAA